rnacentral:lncRNA from 1 species
CUUUAACAUGUCUCAUGGCAGUUGAAGAGUUAAGGUGGACCCUGUGUGGAGUGCCACUUUUGCCUGGCCCACACGCUCUCAAGUGUACUUUCAAAUGUACUCUCUGUCAGGACUGACUAAAGGAUCCUCAGCAAAAUGAGAGACAGCGAACUAACAAAGACAAACACAGAGGCAUAGGGACGCAUAAUCGGACCUUAGAGUGCUCAGGUUAAUAAAACAGGACUAAGAGAAGACUACAGUCCAGGAGAGGAACAAUAUUUGAAACACACAAUGCCCAAUACAAGCAAGGGUCAGGAGAACAGAAAAAAAGCAAUGUCCAGAAAAAGCCAGGGACUGGUACACAUGAAGGGAAGUCAGACAAACCAGAGACUGGAACACAAAAUCAGGUGAAAGGCAAAGAGGGCGGGUCAGGUACACAAGGACAGGAGAGCAGAAGGUAGUCAGGUAAGCCGGGUCAAUAUAACAGAUUAAGUCAAGAUUAGGACAAAAUAUCACCAAUUAUAAAGGAACCACAAGAGUUCAGAGCAGCCGAAUAGCCCUCUUUAAUUAGGAAGGUCCUGUACAUGUUUGGCUCUUGCCUACUAGAGCAACAAGAUCAGAAAGGAAGCAUCUGUGUUACCCACAAGUGCCCUACAAAAACAAGCAAUCAGAAUAUCAGGUGGGUCAGAAUCAAACAGACAUCCCUUCAAAAUUUACCCAGGGUAACAGGUUCCACAAUGGCAGUGUGCAGCAAUAGAGCAGUGGGAAACAGGGGUUCAAGUCCCACCAAAUCCCAGCUCCAGAGCCAAUCAGAGAUAUCUUAUAGACUAAAACACAAAGAAAUUUAUAUUCUCAGAUUCUACAGUCACAUACAGUAUUUGGUGGUGCCAUACUAAGGACUGACUGGAAGGGAAUGUCACUCACUCACCUGUCAGACCACCACACUAAUGCUACUUGGGACAUCUGUAAGAUAGCAGGCUAAGACCCUGACACUGCAUUGUUUCACCUCCGACAGUAGAAGCUCUGUAAUGUUAGCUAGUGACCAGCUUUUCACGAUAAUGAAUGCACCAGUCCAGGAGAGCUUUAUACUACCGACCCAGCAACAUAGUGUUUGGGAACUCCCCUCAGAACUGGGCUGGUAACUGGUCAAUGUCCUAGAAGAAAGAGUUUUAGGCUUCAUACUGCUACCUUUUACAAAUGGUGAUCAGGCAAGUGAGUUUCUAAUAUCUAACUAGCCCAUAGCAGCACCACCACCACAUCCUUGCUCACCAGCACACUGGGCAACACAUGAUGGCACACCAGGUAAACAAAACACAAUUGUAGACCUUCUGAAGUGUGCUGGGAAGGGGAGGAACAUCCUUCUGGUCGUUCGUACUCUCCAAAUGGGAAGCAGCUAACAUAUCAUGCGUAUAUUGUCAUCUCCAGCCUGCGGCAUGUUCCAUCAUCUGUUUGUGUGCUUAUUGAAAGUAGCUCUGUCAUGAUAUUAUUUAUUUUUGUGCUCGAUCACAUGGUAACUAAUUGUCUAAAUGUUGUGCGUAUACUUAUAAGACGAUGUUCUGCACUUUGUAGAUCAGUGACUCAUCCCUUUUCUCCUUUCCAAAGAUGUCAGUGGUUAAGACUGCCAAAUCCCUGUCGUGUUUUUACAUUAAAU